rnacentral:misc_RNA from 1 species
CGCUGUUGAUCUUACUAAGUCUCAAAAUUGCAUUUGCCUAGGCUUGCUUUUACAAACAUAUAUAAUGAGCAUCUCUAUUCCUCGUUUUUCAAGUUGAAUCCAUGCCUGCACAUCAUAUCCCUCCAUUUAUUGACAGGGCAAGGAAAAAGAAUCACCUUGGAGAUGACAAGAUGGGUUAAUCAGCAGUCAUAUGAUUGAUAGGCCCCAAAGCAUCAGCUGUAAGAAAAUACCCCACUUGGUAAUUCAUCUCAAUCCUCCAUUACCAAUUCUAAGCAGGCUUACAUCUCCACCACGGAGAUCCAGCCUUGUAAAUGUGCU